rnacentral:tRNA from 1 species
GAAUGGCGUAGUGGUUAGUGACCCGGACUACUGAGCCGAAGGUCCCGGGUUCGAUUCCCGGCUGAGGCA